rnacentral:rRNA from 1 species
AGACGGGGGGUGCUAGCGUUGUUCGGAAUUACUGGGCGUAAAGGGCGCGUAGGCGGCUCUGCGAGUCGGGCGUGAAAUCCCGGGGCUCAACCCCGGAACGGCGCUCGAUACUGCGGGGCUGGAGACCGGAAGAGGAGGGUGGAAUUCCCAGUGUAGAGGUGGAAUUCGUAGAUAUUGGGAGGAACACCGGUGGCGAAAGCGGCUCUCUGGUCCGGUUCUGACGCUGAGGCGCGAAAGCGUGGGGAGCAAACAGGAUUAGAAACCCUAGUAGUCC